rnacentral:lncRNA from 1 species
CAGGAGUUAAAGUCAACAGAUGCGUGGCAUUCCUUUCCAUUUUGCAACAGCUCCAGAAGUCCCAAGUUGGCUCCAUCACCACCUCUGUCACCCUAUAACCUGCAAGUACUGGGAAAUCUGUAGAAAGGAUGCUGGUAUGACCCAGAAGCCAGGAAAUGGCAUUACAUUAAAAUUUCUGCAGUUUCGUUGGAAUUCUACUCCCAUCAGGAUACCCGUUCCCAUAGCCACUCCAUCACUGUGCACUUGCCCAUGACCUCUGCCCACUGCCUUGCCAGUGCAUGCUCACCCAUGGCCUCCACACUCUAGUGCACUCUCCUGCAGCUCCCUGUCACCUCAUUGGAGAAUUUUGACUGGUAGCCCUAAUCAAAAUGUUGUUAGUAGUGGACUGAGAAUACCUCAGUCACCCUAGCACAGUAGGAACUUGACCUAAAGGGGCCAGAGAACAAAGCUGUGAACCUGGUACCAACCCUCCAAGUUUAGACUACUCAGUCCAGGAAUGCUGACUGAGCCUUGGCCCAUGAAAGCACCCAGAAAUGAACUAAAUCAACUAAACACAACUUUUACCAUAGUCAAACCCUCAAAGGCUUCAAAAAAUGUAAAGGUAAAAGAGCACCAGCCAAAGGAUAACUUCAAAAAUUAAAGGAACAUCAGCUAACACAGACAAGAAAAAAAAAGCAAAAGAAUUUUGACAACUGUAAAAGUCAAAGUAUCUUCUUACCUCCAAAUGAUCACACUAGCUCCCCAGCAAUGGCUUUCAACCAGACUAAAACGGCUGAAAUGACAGACAAAUAAUUCAGAAUCAGGAUAGCAACGAAAAUCAAUGAGAUGCAAGAGAAGGUUAAAGCAUAAUCCUAGAAAAGCAGUAAAAUGAUUCCUGAGUUGAAAGAUAGCUAACAUACCAAUUUUAAGAAAGAACCAAACUCAAAUUCUGUAAAUAAAAAAUUUACUACAUGAAUUUCAUAACACAAUUGGAAGCAUUAAUAACAGAAUAGAUCAAACUGAGGAAAGAAUCUCAGAGUUCAAAGACCACUCCUUUGAAUCAGUGCAGGCCAACAAAUACAAAAAAAGAAUUAAAAAAUGAAAAAAAACUCCAAUAAAUAUGGGAUUAUGUGAAGAGAACAAACCUAUGACUGAUUGGCAUUCUUGAAAAAGACAAGACAGCAAAAAUCUUGGAAAAUAUAUUUGAGGAUAUUGUCUGUGAAAAUUUCCUCAGCCUUGUCAGAGAGGUUGACAAUAAAUACCAAAAAGUCAGAGAACCCCUGUGAAAUACUAUACAGCAUGACCAUUACUAAGACACAUAGUCAUCAGAUUAUCAAGAUCAAUGCAAAAGAAAAAUUC